GCAUGAUAUUUUUAUUAAAGAGUUUCGGUUAUCGAUGGGGAUGCGUUCCAUUAGUUUGUUGGCGGGGUAACGGCCCACCAAGACUACGAUGGAUAGGGGUUCUGAGAGGAAGGUCCCCCACAUUGGAACUGAGACACGGUCCAAACUCCUACGGGAGGCAGCAGUGAGGAAUAUUGGUCAAUGGGCGAGAGCCUGAACCAGCCAAGUAGCGUGAAGGAUGAAGGCUCUAUGGGUCGUAAACUUCUUUUAUAUGGGAAUAAAGUAUUCCACGUGUGGAAUUUUGUAUGUACCAUAUGAAUAAGGAUCGGCUAACUCCGUGCCAGCAGCCGCGGUAAUACGGAGGAUCCGAGCGUUAUCCGGAUUUAUUGGGUUUAAAGGGAGCGUAGGUGGAUUGUUAAGUCAGUUGUGAAAGUUUGCGGCUCAACCGUAAAAUUGCAGUUGAAACUGGCAGUCUUGAGUACAGUAGAGGUGGGCGGAAUUCGUGGUGUAGCGGUGAAAUGCUUAGAUAUCACGAAGAACUCCGAUUGCGAAGGCAGCUCACUAGACUGUUACUGACACUGAUGCUCGAAAGUGUGGGUAUCAAACAGGAUUAGAUACCCUGGUAGUCCACACAGUAAACGAUGAAUACUCGCUGUUUGCGAUAUAC
rnacentral:rRNA from 1 species